AGCAAUCUGCCUUUGGAUGGGGGAUAACAGCCGGAAACGACUGCUAAUACUGCAUGAUGCAGCGGGGUCGCAUGAUUUUGCUGCCAAAGAUUUAUCGUCCAAAGAUGAGCUCGCGUCUGAUUAGCCAGUUGGCGGGGUAACGGCCCACCAAAGCGACGAUCAGUAGCCGGCCUGAGAGGGCGACCGGCCACAUUGGGACUGAGACACGGCCCAGACUCCUACGGAAGGCAGCAG
rnacentral:rRNA from 1 species